rnacentral:rRNA from 1 species
CCUACGGGAGGCAGCAGUGGGGAAUAUUGCGCAAUGGGCGAAAGCCUGACGCAGCGACGCCGCGUGAGGGAUGAAGGUCUUCGGAUCGUCAACCUCUGUCAGCAGGGAAGAACGGUCACUGUGCUAAUCAGCAGUGAAUUGACGGUACCUGCAAAGGAAGCACCGGCUAACUCCGUGCCAGCAGCCGCGGUACUACGGAGGGUGCGAGCGUUAAUCGGAAUUACUGGGCGUAAAGCGCUCGUAGGAGGUAUGUCAAGUCAAGGGGGAAAUCCCCGCGCUCAACGUGGGAACUGCCUUUGAAACUGGCAAACUGGAGUGUGGUAGAGGAUAGUGGAAUUCCAGGUGUAGGAGUGAAAUCCGUAGAUAUCUGGAGGAACAUCAGUGGCGAAGGCGACUAUCUGGCACAUAACUGACGCUGAGGAGCGAAAGCGUGGGUAGCAAACAGGAUUAGAUACCCGAGUAGUC